CAAGCAUGAACCACAGUGCUCGGCCAAUUUCUUAAUUCUUAGACUAAAUCUACAGGGGACACACUUGUUCCAACAUUAGCUGCAAAGGGAUUUUUCCUCCACACUUAAGUCACUGUCAGCCAUUGCAGAAGCAGUUGAACCAAAUGAUUGGAUUGACCAGAAUAAAAAGAAAACAAAACAACAACAACAAAAACUACAGAAACCAAUGAGAUAUGUCCAAAAAUGAUGACUCCUCAUAUCAUCACACCAGCAAGGAAUGAACCAGCCUCUGAUUUUCCCUUCUUGGCUGACUUUACAAGGUUGGAUGCAGCUCAUGAGAAUCAUGCAGCAAAGACAGAAAGAAAGUGCUGGAGAAGCUGCACCUGCAGGGCCUUACCUUUAGCUGGUUUGUAUGGUCCCACUCCAUGUAGCUGUUGGAAAACCAGUAUCUCUAAUGUCCUCUAUGGGAUAGUUGUUACCUUCCAUUAAUUUACGUCUAUGACCUGUAAACCUAAAGUAUCCUUUUAUAAAUUUUAUUCAGUCUUUAUGGAGAAAAUUUUUAGUGCAUGCCAGGUAUAGUGUCAAGCAUUGGGAUUCCUAAGAUGAAUGUAACAUUGUCCUCAUCAUUCAUUAAGUCACAAUCUAGUAGAGGAAUAGAAGUUUAAAAAAGAAUUAUAACCAUAAUACAGAAGCAAACAGGCUUCAGUGGUAGCACAGAGAGGGUUUCAGGGCUACUGUCACAGAGGUGAUAACAUUUAAGAUAUAGAUUCCAAAUUCAGAUGUGUUUGUUUUUGCAAAAUUCUCGGGUCUAUGUGCUCAGGUCCUGAAAAGUCCAGUGACAAAUUUUACCUAAAAUUUAGGUGGCAAACGAAUCUUACUAUAACCACUUGGAACCAUUGUGGGGCUGGUCCAUCUUAUGGGACCCAUCUUCAGUUCAGAGGGAUGGAGGCAGAGGGAAUACAGCAGGUAAGCUUAAGCAGUGAUAUGACAGGGCUUUCAGAAUUGGGGCCAAGAAGGGCUUGCUUUAUUUUCAUGCUAUUUAAAAAUAGGUUUUUGCAACUGAUUUACCCUAUUAAAUACUUCCAUGCAUAACUCAGUGGAGAUUUAUUUGCAAUAGUAGGAUCAGGUAAUUUGAAAACAUCAAUAUGUGUGGUUGUAGCAGGAGGAGGACUGGGUUCCAGCAUUUAAUAAGAGCAUCCAUGGCUUUAUGAAAAUGUCUGAAGAUGUAAUUUUCAUUAAAGUUAUACUUCACCUUUAGUUGUACAGUUCUUUCUUUCAGUUUCAAUAAAAUCUAAAACAGGAAAUGUCAAUAUACAUGCUCAGGUAAGGAAAGAAUGAGUCUGUGCAGAGAGUAGGAUCCAAUCCUCUUCAGGUAGUAAUGAAGAAAGAAGGCUCAUCACUUCAAUGAGCACUGUGAGCCCUUGAAUGGGCUUAUAGGUACAUACUUAUAGUUAAAAUAUGUAUCUCCCAUUUUAGUAUUGGAUAAAAUACUGUCACAUAUUUCUCAUUAAAUCUACAGUUCUACUAUCUUUCCUGAUUAAUUUUGCCAGCAAAAGUUCCUUAACUUUCUAUAAAAGUC